UACAUGGGGGGGCAAGCGUUGUUCGGAAUUACUGGGCGUAAAGGGCUCGUAGGCGGCCAACUAAGUCAGACGUGAAAUCCCUCGGCUUAACCGGGGAACUGCGUCUGAGACUGGAUGGCUUGAAUCCGGGAGAGGGAUGUGGAAUUCCAGGUGUAGCGGUGAAAUGCGUAGAUAUCUGGAGGAACACCGGUGGCGAAGGCGGCGUUCUGGACUGCAACUGACACUGAGGCGCGAAAGCUAGGGGAGCGAACGGG
rnacentral:rRNA from 1 species